UACACACUGGCUCAGAGGGUAAAGCGUCUGCCUGCAAUGCAGGAGACCUGGGUUCGAUCCCUGGGUCAGGAA
rnacentral:tRNA from 1 species